AAAUCUGUCCCCGCCCGGCUUUGCAGCGUUCCCACUGCCUCUGCCACCUGUCAGGUGCCGUCUGCUCUGCAGACCCCGCCGAGGAGAGCAAAGAGCCCCCCGGGCAGGCACCCCGUUCCACCCUCCAUCAUCCUUCUCCAGCCUCCCCUGUGCAGUCUUUCCCAUCUGGUUCAUGAGGCAUGUGGAUUCCAGGGGUCCUUGAGGUUCUGCCUCAAAAGGGAUAUUGGGAGGAGGACAUUCCAGAAAGCUCACUGGGGGCAAGGGAGGUACUGACCCUUUCCCUCCUCCUCAGUCCCCACAGGAGACAACCCUGACGGGAGCAUGGAGCUGCUGUCCACGCCCCACAGCAUUGAGAUCAACAACAUCACCUGCGACUCCUUCCGCAUCUCCUGGGCCAUGGAGGACAGUGACCUGGAGAGGGUCACCCAUUACUUCAUUGACCUUAACAAGAAGGAGAAUAAGAAUUCCAACAAGUUCAAGCACCGGGACGUCCCCACCAAGCUCGUGGCCAAGGCAGUGCCGCUGCCCAUGACGGUGAGAGGCCACUGGUUCCUGAGCCCCCGCACGGAGUACAGCGUGGCUGUGCAGACGGCAGUGAAGCAGAGCGACGGGGAGUACCUGGUGUCUGGCUGGAGUGAGACGGUGGAGUUCUGCACUGGGGAUUAUGCCAAGGAGCACCUGGCUCAGCUGCAGGAGAAAGCUGAGCAGAUCGC
rnacentral:sRNA from 1 species